CCCAUUGUAGUCUACUUGGUUAGGAUACUUGGCUCUCACCCAAGAGACUCGGGUUCAAGUAUGGACAAUGGAA
rnacentral:tRNA from 1 species